rnacentral:rRNA from 1 species
NNCUACGGCCAUGCCACCUGAACAAGCCGAUCUCAUUUGAUCUCAGAAGCUAAGCAGGGUUCGGCCUGGUUAGUACUUGGAUGGGAAACCACCUAGGAAGACCAGGUGCUGUAGGCA